rnacentral:rRNA from 1 species
UUGGAGGGCAAGUCUGGUGCCAGCAGCCGCGGUAAUUCCAGCUCCAAUAGCGUAUAUUAAAGUUGUUGCAGUUAAAAAGCUCGUAGUUGAAUUUCGGGGUUCUACCGUUGGUCGGGCAAUAGUCUGUACUGGCGUGUAGAAUUUCUACCUUCUGGGGAACUAUCAUGUUAUUUAUUUAGCGUGGUAGGAAACCAGGACCUUUACCUUGAAAAAUUAGAGUGUUCAAAGCAGGCUUACGUCUGAAUACAUUAGCAUGGAAUAAUAAAAUAGGACGGUGGUCCUGUUUUGUUGGUUUCUGAGUCACCGUAAUGAUUAAUAGGGAUAGUUGGGGGCAUUAGUAUUCAAUUGUCAGAGGUGAAAUUCUUGGAUUUAUUGAAGACUAACUUCUGCGAAAGCAUUUGCCAAGGAUGUUUCCAUUAAUCAAGAACGAAAGUUAGGGGAUCGAAGACGAUCAGAUACCGUCGUAGUCUUAACCAUAAACUAUGCCGACUAGGGAUCGGACGAUGUUAAUUUUUCUUGACUCGUUCGGCACCUUACGGGAAAC